ACACAUGCAGUCGAACGAUGAUGCCCAGCUUGCUGGGUGGAUUAGUGGCGAACGGGUGAGUAACACGUGAGUAACCUGCCCCUGACUCUGGGAUAAGCGUUGGAAACGACGUCUAAUACUGGAUAUGACUGCCGGCCGCAUGGUCUGGUGGUGGAAAGAUUUUUUGGUUGGGGAUGGACUCGCGGCCUAUCAGCUUGUUGGUGAGGUAAUGGCUCACCAAGGCGACGACGGGUAGCCGGCCUGAGAGGGUGACCGGCCACACUGGGACUGAGACACGGCCCAGACUCCUACGGGAGGCAGCAGUGGGGAAUAUUGCACAAUGGGCGAAAGCCUGAUGCAGCAACGCCGCGUGAGGGAUGACGGCCUUCGGGUUGUAAACCUCUUUUAGUAGGGAAGAAGCGUAAGUGACGGUACCUGCAGAAAAAGCACCGGCUAACUACGUGCCAGCAGCCGCGGUAAUACGUAGGGUGCAAGCGUUGUCCGGAAUUAUUGGGCGUAAAGAGCUCGUAGGCGGUUUGUCGCGUCUGCUGUGAAAUCCCGAGGCUCAACCUCGGGCUUGCAGUGGGUACGGGCAGACUAGAGUGCGGUAGGGGAGAUUGGAAUUCCUGGUGUAGCGGUGGAAUGCGCAGAUAUCAGGAGGAACACCGAUGGCGAAGGCAGAUCUCUGGGCCGUAACUGACGCUGAGGAGCGAAAGCGUGGGGAGCGAACAGGAUUAGAUACCCUGGUAGUCCACGCCGUAAACGUUGGGCGCUAGAUGUAGGGACCUUUCCACGGUUUCUGUGUCGUAGCUAACGCAUUAAGCGCCCCGCCUGGGGAGUACGGCCGCAAGGCUAAAACUCAAAGGAAUUGACGGGGGCCCGCACAAGCGGCGGAGCAUGCGGAUUAAUUCGAUGCAACGCGAAGAACCUUACCAAGGGCUUGACAUACACCGGGAAACGGCCAGAGAUGGAUCGCCCCUUGUGGUCGGUGUACAGGUGGUGCAUGGUUGUCGUCAGCUCGUGUCGUGAGAUGUUGGGUUAAGUCCCGCAACGAGCGCAACCCUCGUUCUAUGUUGCCAGCGCGUUAUGGCGGGGACUCAUAGGAGACUGCCGGGGUCAACUCGGAGGAAGGUGGGGAUGACGUCAAAUCAUCAUGCCCCUUAUGUCUUGGGCUUCACGCAUGCUACAAUGGCCGGUACAAAGGGCUGCGAUACCGUAAGGUGGAGCGAAUCCCAAAAAGCCGGUCUCAGUUCGGAUUGAGGUCUGCAACUCGACCUCAUGAAGUCGGAGUCGCUAGUAAUCGCAGAUCAGCAACGCUGCGGUGAAUACGUUCCCGGGCCUUGUACACACCGCCCGUCAAGUCAUGAAAGUCGGUAACACCCGAAGCCGGUGGCCUAACCCUUGUGGAAGGAGCCGUC
rnacentral:rRNA from 2 species